rnacentral:rRNA from 1 species
AGUGAACGCUGGCGGUAGGCCUAACACAUGCAAGUCGAACGGCAGCCCAGUAAGAGCUUGCUCUUACGGGUGGCGCGUGGCGGACGGGUGAGGAAUACAUCGGAAUCUACUUUUUCGUGGGGGAUAACGUAGGGAAACUUACGCUAAUACUGCAUACGACCUACGGGUGAAAGCAGGGGAUCUUCGGACCUUGCGCGAUUGAAUGAACCGAUGUCGGAUUAGCUAGUUGGCAGGGUAAAGGCCCACCAAGGCGACGAUCCGUAGCUGGUCUGAGAGGAUGAUCAGCCACACUGGAACUGAGGCACGGUCCAGACUCCUACGGGAGGCAGCAGUGGGGAAUAUUGGACAAUGGGCGCAAGCCUGAUCCAGCCAUACCGCGUGGGUGAAGAAGGCCUUCGGGUUGUAAAGCCCUUUUGUUGGGAAAGAAAAGCAGCAGGUUAAUACCCCGCUGUUCUGACGGUACCCAAAGAAUAAGCACCGGCUAACUUCGUG